GUUUGAUGGUAAUGAACCUGUCUGACCACCAGAGGGACAAAAUCAAGUCUUGCCUUUUCCUGGAAUUUUUCAUGAAUAAUUGCCCAGGCAGUCCUCAAACAGAUGAUCUGGCUGUGGAAUGACACCAAUCAUCCAUACAGACGUCACUCCAAACCAGCCACCUGCCAGACAUUGGGGAAAGAUGGAAAAUCCCUAUACCAGCAGAGUCAGUUUUUAGGGUAGUGUACCUUCCACCAGUGCUGAGCCGUCAGGGCCAGCGAGGCCUUCUCUGCUGGCCUAAACACUAUUGGAAGCACUGACCUACAUUUACAGCUUAUUCUAAUAUUUGUUCCAUGAAAUUGUAUUAAUUUAUUCCUAACAGUCUAUUCUCUUCAUUUCGUAGCGUUUCUCUUGCCUGCACUUCUUCCAAUACGUGUAUGUGGAUGUUAGAUUUUUUGGUCCAAUCAGAUUUCAGCCUCUAUGUGUUGCCAUGUCAA